GGGAUGAACUGUCCCCUACACAAGAAAAAUCUUCUCUUUCAUGCAUCCAUUUCACUCUGUGUCUGGAGUUAAUCUGAGUGGAGGCUUCCACGACUCUGCCAGGGCUCCUGCCCUUGGUGGAGUCUUCCUGCUUGCCCCUGUGCCAUGCUGGCUGAGCUAAUUCAGGGAAAAAUAACCUUGAAAUGUGCUCUGUGUUGGGCCAAAUCAGCCCUGUGUGAUGGCUGUUUGCAUGGCCACAGACAGUGCCUGCUGCAAGGGAAGGGGCUGGGAAGGCAGGUCCUGCCUUGGCAGAAUUAGAGGGGUUUAAAUUGCAAGAGGACUGACUAGGGUUGAGCAGAAAGGAGAAGAAAUUAGUCCACAAAUCCCUGGAGCUGGCUGGCAUCAAUCCAAGCAGUCCCUGACCAGAACCCAGCACCCACCGAGCUGCUGGAUGACAUGCACCUGGCCUGAAGGAGCUGAUUGGAAGAAGACCUCAUGCCAUGGCAGAAAGGAGCUGGUUGGGAGGAGACCAUGAGUUUUAAGAAGCUGCAUUGGGUGCAGAAGAGCACAGGGACUGUGAUGGAGAGAGUCCUGCCUGGGCCAGAUGUGGCCUUAGAGACCAAAGGGGGAAUUGCAGUGGUGAGGCACAGCCUGGACCUGAUCCUGCCAUUUUUUUUCACGAGGAUCAAAAGGCCACUGAGAUUACCAAGCUUUCAACCUUCAACUCCCCCAGGACUUGGAGGCUGAGGGGGUCCUGUAUUGCUUUGGCCAAGCAAUCAAAGUUUAUAGAGGCUUCUCAGUAGGAUGGGUGGAAGAAACACAGAGAGCAGGAAGCAACUGCUGAAACUGCCAGUGAUUAAAAUGCAAUAAAAUGUUUGCCUUCUGCUGCUGAGCA
rnacentral:lncRNA from 1 species